rnacentral:lncRNA from 1 species
UAUGAUCUUUCUCCUAGCUAUUUUUUCCUUUCCCUCCAGCUAGCUCCUGACCAGACCCAUCGACGUUCGAUCUCAAAUUCCUUCCAAUAGAGAUUCCGUUUCCAGGGAAUCAGUCAUUUCCGAACCACCAACUCAAUCUCUUCCAAGCAGGGGUUGACCCACGCUGCAUCUUCAAAGCCAAGACACUGAACGAGGGGGAGGUGGGGGCUCGCGCUCAUAAAAGAAGCCCGCACCACCAAGCUAUAGCCGCUACUGUUGACCAGAAGAGUCUACUUUUCAAUCGAGUCGCUUGAGCCCUCACUCAGCAAAAGAUGUAAGAUGGAGAGGUUAACUUCACCGAUCAGUUCAGUCCCAUUAAAAUUCAACAAAAAUAUGCAAUAUUUUUUACAAAGGUAAUCACUUGUGUUGAACUAUUGAUUGUAAUGGAUUGAUGACUGAUUUGAGACUAAAUUUGAGUUUGUUUGAGGCUAGAUUGAGG